GUGAUUCACUUUAGCGUGGUUGGUUUGUAAAAUCUGUUUCAUUGCAUUUAUUUGGAAAAUCGUUUACAAACUACAAUGUUAAAUAUUGAAAUGUAUGCUGCUGUUCAGACUGCAAUUUCGCAAGAGAAUGAUAAAUCUCUGAAUGAAUUGAAAUUGCGUUUGAAUGAGGAAUAUUUUGGGGCGACUAAAAUGCCGAGAGCGGAAUUCUUAUCAUUGCUUUUGAAAGGCGAAACAUCAUUGAGCAGAGAGUUCUCAGCAGAAAUUUAUAUCCCCAAAAUCGUGCGUAAGCAACACGAGGACAAAGGAAAUGUAUGCAUGGCCUUAAGAUCAGAAGUAUCUGGCAACUGUCUCUACAGUUCAGUGUCAUUGCUUUUGGCAGGUGAUAACAGUUUAUUGCAUAUUUUGAGGCAGUUAACAUCACUUGAGCUGUUUUUGAAUGCGACUUUUUACUGCCAACAUCCUUUAUUUUCCUCAAUUGUUGAACAGCAUAAAGAAUUCAACAACACCUCAAAGAAUAUUUUACCUUUGACAGUAUCUCAAGACUGUCUAGAUUCUGGUUUUGUAGGUGUUGAUCUUUUCAAUAAGGAGGCCUUUUUGAAUUGUCAUGACCAAAAGUGGUCAUCGUUUCUAUGCAUUCUAGCUCUUUCUUCUGUGUUGGAGACAAAAAUUUUUACCUACUACCCAGAUUGUGGAGAGAGCCGGCCUAAAUCAAUAUUCAACUCUCUGGUUUGUCCAAGAAGAAUAGUUAAAGAAUCAGCCAAUGCAAUUUAUCUUUUGUUUUGUUAUAAAGGGGUAGUUAAAUCAGAUCAAUGUUUCCAACCUAAUCAAUUUGUUCCUCUAGUUUUUUUUCCUAGCAAAACUAAAAGGACAAUUUCUGGUCCAACAUGCCCAGUGCCUUCAAAAAAAGCAAAAGCAGGAAAAAAGUCUGGGAAUAUCAGUAACUUGUUUUCAAAAAUGGAAAAACCAGAAAUCAUUACAAGUGAGGUUUCUUGUACUAGGGUUUCUGAACAAACCAUUGAAGAUUUACCGGAAAAGCCUAACUUUAGUCACAAUUUUGAUGUAGCUACCUACUACGAAAGAGCUAAAGGCUUGGCAUUGGAUUACGAGGUCAUCGUGAUGAUGCUCAAUUUCACCCAGAGGUACACUACCAAUCACCUCAUGUGAAUGUGAGAGAUCAAUUUCAGCACUGAGGAAUCUAAAAACCUACCAAAGGAGCACUAUGGUAGAGGAAAGUUUAAAUGGCCUGGCUUUAAUGCGAAUUCACCCAGAAAUUACUCCUGACAUAGAAAGAGUGAUCAAUAAGUUUGCUGAAGAUCCGCCCCUGCUAGAGGAGAUGACGGAACUGAUGGGACCAAUGGAAGCGAUGGUGUGCCCGGGGCCACAGGAGCCACAGGGCAUUAGAGGUCUAGCAGGUCCUAAAGGAGUGCCGGGGUCUAUAGGGGCCGCAGGAGCCACAGGGCCUAAAGGAGAUACUGGAGCCACAGGGCCUCAGGGGCCUUCAGGACGUCAAGGACCUCAAGGACAACCAGGAGCUGAUGGGCUUAAAGGAGACCAAGGAGAUCAACCUGUUUUGAACUCUCCUAAUGGCUUUUAUCCCCCAGGUAUGAGCGGAGUAAAUGUAAUUUUAGUAACGUUUCCUACUGGAAAAACACUCGAAAAUAAUAAAAUAGCAUUAUUAAACAUUUGGUUUGAACGGUCUCCACACGAGUGGUUCAACAUUAGAUCUACUGUGUUUGAACAAAGUUGGGGGCCUUGUGUUAGUUUCGUACAUGAUACCACUAACAAAUUGAUGUCAUAUGUUAGUACAAUACCCAUUAACUGGACGCGAAGAUAUCAGGAACACUAUUUAGAGUAUUCUUAAUUCUAAAACAAUAAAUUUUUAUAAUAUAUGUAGAA